CUGAACAAACGGCACUUUUUUUAGAUUUAAGUCAUCUUGUCUGUUUCUGCAGAAGUUUCUGAAAAGCUCUUACUUCCUUGUUUACAGUGUGGAUAGAUUCACAUGUGGGGAUGAGACGGGACCUGAAUUCGUGCAGGACAAAAGUCUGGACACCCUGGAUUCUCCUACCAGUGAGCGCAAGCCUUUCCGUUCUUCCAGCAGCAACCAGAAGGAAUCAGAGCUGUUUGAAAUCAUUGAGAAGCUGCAGGUGAGUUACAGUGUCCAUCAUUUUGUGCAGUGUGUGCAUCCAUCAAUGCCUGAGCAGCAGAUGUUUGUAAUCACUAAAGCUCUU
ensembl:lncRNA